GACAGAGGGUGCAAACGUUGUUCGGAAUUACUGGGCGUAAAGCGCGUGUAGGCGGCUUGGCAAGUCGGGUGUGAAAGCCCUGGGCUUAACCUAGGAAGUGCACUCGAAACUGCCGAGCUUGAGUUCUGGAGAGGAAGGCGGAAUUCUCGGUGUAGAGGUGAAAUUCGUAGAUAUCGAGAGGAACACCGGUGGCGAAGGCGGCGAUCUGGGCAGAUACUGACGCUGAGGUGCGAAAGCGUGGGGAGCAAACAGG
rnacentral:rRNA from 1 species